UACUCUCACACUUCUGAUCCUUUGGAUUGGGAGCGGUGGACUUGGGUGCUGCUGCUUACCGGUGGCUCACCUCAAAUACAUUAGUGCACCUCUUGGUUGGACAUAGUACGGCGUGAUAAGUGUCUUCGCCGGCACCUCUUGCGAGGGUGGCUGAUCAGGAGCUCUGUGCUUCCAACCGUCUGUCUUUCAGACAACAACUGACA
rnacentral:misc_RNA from 1 species